UGGCGAACGGGUGAGUAACGCGUGAGGAACCUGCCUCAAAGAGGGGGACAACAGUUGGAAACGACUGCUAAUACCGCAUAAGCCCACGACCCGGCAUCGGGAAGAGGGAAAAGGAGCAAUCCGCUUUGAGAUGGCCUCGCGUCCGAUUAGCUAGUUGGUGAGGUAACGGCCCACCAAGGCGACGAUCGGUAGCCGGACUGAGAGGUUGAACGGCCACAUUGGGACUGAGACACGGCCCAG
rnacentral:rRNA from 1 species